rnacentral:tRNA from 1 species
GCCUUUGUGGUGUAAUAGUUAGCACACUUGGUGCGUAUUCCAGAGGUCCAGGUUCGAGUCCCGCCGUAGGCA